UACAUUAAUUUUGGAAACAGAGCUGUUAUGUUUCGUUGGACUACGUAAAACAAAUCACGUUUAUUUUCACAGGGGUUUACUUCCUCUGCGUGCAAUAUUUCGUAUAGUGGGAGUCCCGGGCAGUGCGUGCGACUCUCGUCAGGAGUGGACUAUUACAUUAGUAAGUACCGAUCCUGUCCUUCAAACUACCGCCACUCACCUGUCCUUAACUUCUGUUAUCGCCCUUUUCCAAUACAACUAGACUUUCCCACCGCUAGGAGUCACUGUGAAAGUUUUGGAGACCGUCUGGCCAUUCUUCCAACCAUGGCACAUAUUAAUUAUAUCAAAGAAGAGAAACUGAGUGGAUACCUCACUGGCCUGAAGUUUUGGGUGGGAGGUCAGUGGGAUAUCGCCGCAGGACAAUGGCGAUGGUUGGACGGAAGUUUGAUAUUCAAUGGCAUUGAUAUCACAUCAUGCCGCAUUCUGACCGAUUUUGGUGCCAUCGUAUGGGAGAAAAACUAUAAUCUAAUGGAUAGAUUACCUUCUAGAGAUGAAAAGUUCUUGUGCGAAAAAGUAUUGGAUUAGAAAUGAACUUUUCUUAACAGAAUGAUCUCAGUAGAUUUGAAGCUUCUGUUGGAAGCCAACAAAAUAGAAAUAAAGUUACUCUCACUUUACCAUAUAACGUAGUUUUGAAGUAUUUUUUCACGCCUGGCAACCUUAAAACGGGUAUGGGGUAGACGCAAUACCUUGUCCUGUCUGCUAUGGCGGUUAUAGUCACAUACUCAGGAAUAAAGAAAUGAGUAUUACACGUGGUCUAAAUCAGAGAAGAUUUGAAGAUGAUACAUUUAUGAAUUCAUAUACUAGGAAUAUACAUAUCUUUUUAAUGAUCUAUUAAAAGUCAGCGUAGUAAUCGGUAAAUGUGAUGUCGA